UUUCAGACUCACUCAGGAGGCUUACUCUGCUCUCCCCCAAAACUCUUAUUAUGCUAGUAAUAAACUUUUCUAUUCCUUUCUGUGUGUGUCUGCAGCAUCAUUUUAUGACAUACAAACCAGAUUUUGAGUGGGUUCCACCCAGCCUCUGCCGAAUGUUCUAAGGAGCAAGGAUCUGCGGAAACUAGGACAACGCUCCCUCAGUACGAUAUUUGCAUGGGCGCUUCUGAUGCUUCUCAUUUAUUCCUCACGUGCUGAUCUCAAUGGACACUUAAUUUUGCAGCCGAUUACCUUAAAACACAUGAGUGAGAGAGAACACAAAGUGGAGAGGGGCAAGAAGAGAGGGGGACAGAGCAUCUGAAGUGGGCUCUGUGCUGAGAACUGACAAUGUGGGACUGGAACUCAUGAACUGUGAGAUCGUUACCUGAGCCAAAGCUGGACGCUAAACUGACUGAGCCACCCAGACGCCCCAGGUCUUUGUUUUUUAAAUGAUCAUUAUUACAGAUAAAAGUAGAAAAAUUAUACCUUUAAGAAAUCAUGCUUCAAUAGUAUGCUUAAAAAUAAAUUCCUAAAACUAUAAUUUUUUAAUAGAAAA
rnacentral:lncRNA from 1 species